rfam:Cajanus cajan CcLG01_100, whole genome shotgun sequence.
GCUGGUUUGCCCGAGAGGUUAAGGGGGAAGACUUAAGAUCUUCUGCAGUUAACUGCGCAUGGGUUCGAACCCCAUAGCCAGCA